rnacentral:sRNA from 1 species
UGGCUUCCGGUCCCCUGAGACUGGGGCCUCGCUCGCUCCCGACCCGGUUGCAAGUGUUGCGGUGGGAGAAAGUCGAGUCCGCAGCGGAGGGGAAGCGCCGUCAUGCCUAAGUAUUAUGAGGACAAGCCGCAGGGCGGCGCGUGCGCGGGCCUGAAGGAGGACCUGGGCGCGUGUCUGCUGCAGUCGGACUGUGUGGUCCAGGUAGCGCGGCCGGGCGCUCCCGGUGGUGACGACCCCUGUCCCAGGAAGGAAAAUCACCUCGGCAGUGUUUGAAGGAAGGAUACUGCAACUCUUUGAAGUACGCAUUUUUUGAGUGUAAAAGAUCAGUGUUGGAUAACAGGGCAAGAUUCAGAGGAAGAAAAGGAUAUUGAUGCAUUAUGUUGAAGCCAACAUGGAAAACAACAAAUAUUUUCCCUGGUCAUUAACACAAAGAAGCCAAAACAGGAAACAUACUUUUUACUACAUCUGUUUGGUUGGACCAGAUUUCCCCUCCGUGGAACACUGAAGAAAGUGGAUGAGUUGUUUUCGAAUAUGUAUAAAGUAAAUGAUUCUCUUGAUCCAAGUUAUUUUUAGAAGAAAAACCUAAUUGAACAGGUAUGGGUUGGGAGCAUAAUAAAUGUGUUUUGAGAAUUGUUCUAAAGCACAGAAAAUGGAAAGACUGUUAUUUGCAAACUUGACUCUUCAAUUGAAUUACCCAAUUUGUACAGGCCACUGAUGUGACUGACACAGUCGAUAACAUGCAGCCUAUCCAGAAGGUGUCUGUUGGGAAA